rnacentral:rRNA from 1 species
ACGCUAGCGGCAGGCUUAUACAUGCAAGUCGUACGGUAAGGUCUCUUCGGAGAUACACGAGUGGCGCACGGGUGCGUAACGCGUAUGCAANCUGCCCAUAACUGGAGAAUAGCUCCCGGAAACGGAAAUUAAUACUCCAUAAUAUUACACAUUCGCAUGUUUGUGUGAUUAAAGCUUCGGCGGUUAUGGAUGGGCAUGCGUGACAUUAGCUAGUUGGUGAGGUAACGGCUCACCAAGGCAACGAUGUCUAGGGGUCCUGAGAGGGUUCACCCCCACACUGGUACUGAGACACGGACCAGACUCCUACGGGAGGCAGCAGUAAGGAAUAUUGGUCAAUGGGCGAAAGCCUGAACCAGCCAUGCCGCGUGCAGGAUGACAGCCCUACGGGUUGUAAACUGCUUUUCUGCAGGACAAAACUCCUCAACGUGUUGGGGACUGAUGGUACUGCAGGAAUAAGCAUCGGCUAACUCCGUGCCAGCAGCCGCGGUAAUACGGAGGAUGCAAGCGUUAUCCGGAUUUAUUGGGUUUAGAGGGUACGUAGGCGGAUUUGCAAGUCAGUGGUGAAAUCUCCCCGCUUAACGGGGAAACUGCCAUUGAUACUGUUAAUCUUGAGUAACAUGUGAAGUGGGCGGAAUACGGUAUGUAGCGGUGAAAUGCAUAGAUAUGCCGUAGAACACCGAUUGCGAAGGCAGCUCACUAAAUUGUCACUGACGCUGAGGUACGAAAGCGUGGGGAUCAAACAGGAUUAGAUACCCUGGUAGUCCACGCUGUAAACGAUGAUCACUCGCUGUUGGCGAUACACUGUCAGCGGCUGAGCGAAAGCAUUAAGUGAUCCACCUGGGGAUUACGAUCGCAAGAUUGAAACUCAAAGGAAUUGACGGGGGCCCGCACAAGCGGUGGAGCAUGUGGUUUAAUUCGAUGAUACGCGAGGAACCUUACCUGGGCUUAAAUGCUUAACGACCGUUGCCGAAAGGUGACUUUCCUUCGGGACGUUUUGCAAGGUGCUGCAUGGUUGUCGUCAGCUCGUGCCGUGAGGUGUCGGGUUAAGUCCCAUAACGAGCGCAACCCCUAUUCUUAGUUGCCAUCAGGUAAAGCUGGGGACUCUAAGGAAACUGCCUACGCAAGUAGUGAGGAAGGUGGGGAUGACGUCAAAUCAGCACGGCCCUUAUGUCCAGGGCUACACACGUGCUACAAUGGCCGGCACAGAGGGUAACUACUACGCGAGUAGAUGUUAAUCUCGAAAUCCGGUCUCAGUUCGGAUCGAAGUCUGCAACUCGACUUCGUGAAGCUGGAAUCGCUAGUAAUCGCGCAUCAGCCACGGCGCGGUGAUACGUUCCCGGGCCUUGUACACACCGCCCGUCAAGCCAUGAAGCUUGGGUACCUGAAGUC